ensembl:lncRNA
UUCACAGAGACAUUCCCACACAAGUGUGAAUAAUCAACAUAAGCCUUGCAGAAUUUAUGGAGUUAUGUUUAAAAUAUGGCAGAUAUGCUGUCAUGUCAUAUGUGAAUUCGAAUCAUUUUUUACCAGGGAGCCAGUGCAACUGGGGCAGAGCUCCCUGCAUCCAUUUUUAAUGACUCUGGACCUGUAAUGGGCUGCAGCCUUCAGGUGCUUCACAGUGGGGAGCCGGUCCGCUGCUUCUUGACAUGAGGACACACAGCUUCGAGCACACCUUUUCCGCUCCAGACGUCCUGAUUUUCUACUGCAAUGGUGAAUGCUUCCCUCCUAGAGGAAGUUCCCCAGCUCUCACCUAAUCCCCCCCGCCUGUGUGGUCACGGGAUCCCAUCGAUGAUUCACCGCACUGGCAACUUAUGCUCUCCUCACCUAAGCUAAGAAACAUUUCACACUCCUCCCCUGCUCCCCCGGCAAUCGUCAGAGCUGUGUUCUUUUCUUUUUUUUUCAAAUAAGGUUCCCUCCACAUGAAUGAUUUCCAGUGUAAAUUGCCCACAGCUAAAUGAAAAGGUGUCCGCUUGGCUGGCGGACAGGCCAGGGGUCAUCUUCACAUCAGAGAGGGGCAUCCUGAACUCCGGCUGAGGGAAAGCGUAAAGGAAGAGGAUGUGAGUGUGUGUGUGAGUGUGUGUGUGUGUGUGUGUGUGAAUAAGUGUGUGUGUGUGUGUGUGUUUAGUUCACAGUAAUGGGAACAGCUGCAGGCAGGACUUCCUGUUCUGCACCGGAAACAAAAUGGCGGAGUGCUGGAGGUCUGGAACAAUGCUGUGAAAGUCGGCCACCGCCCAGGUUAGCGAGCGAGGUGCUCGUGAACCAGAGGGCAUCGAGUCUGAAGAGCUCAGAGAGACUCGCCUGGCUUUUCCAUUUUAGAACACAAAUUCCUUUGAAAGUAGAGUGGAAGGCAGAUAUGUUUUGUCAUAUAAAAUUCUGAUAUCUGCCCUGUAUCUGUCACUCCACCGGCAAUCUCUGUGAGGGAUGUGAAUGAAGAACACAGAAGACGGUCGCCCUCAGCUGAGAGGCACAGGGGAUAAUGUAUUUUAGGUGUAGAAAUAGUUUGACACAUCUCUGUCCCGUUAUCGCACUUUACGGAUUCGUUUCAGAUGUUCACCUGUGGAAACAUCUGAGCACUCUUUACAUAACUGGCCUCCUUUUCAGGGCAAAAAGAUGGUGGUAAAAGUUCUUUUCUUUGUUCGUAGUUGAGAUGAAACGAGGUUACAAUUUUUUCUUGU